rnacentral:rRNA from 1 species
AUUGAACGCUGGCGGCAUGCCUAACACAUGCAAGUCGAACGGCAGCACAGCCGUAGCAAUACGGUGGGUGGCGAGUGGCGGACGGGUGAGUAAAGCAUCGGGACCUACCCAGACGUGGGGGAUAACCUCGGGAAACCGGGACUAAUACCGCAUACGUCCUACGGGAGAAAGCGGGGGACCUUCGGGCCUCGCGCGGUUGGACGGACCGAUGUGCGAUUAGCUAGUUGGUAGGGUAAUGGCCUACCAAGGCGACGAUCGCUAGCUGGUCUGAGAGGAUGAUCAGCCACACUGGGACUGAGACACGGCCCAGACUCCUACGGGAGGCAGC